rnacentral:rRNA from 1 species
UUAAGCUAAGAAGAGCGUAGGGAGAAUGCCUUGGCAUUAGGAGCCGACGAAGGACGUGAUAAGCUGCGAUAAGCUGCGGGGAUCAGCAAGUAUGAAUUGAUCCGCAGAUUUCCGAAUGGAGCAAUCCGUAUGUGUAUGCACAUACAUCAUAUACUGAAUCAAAUAGGUAUAUGAGGGGAACCGCCUGAACUGAAACAUCUAAGUAGGGCGAGGAAGAGAAAUCAACCGAGAUUCUGUGAGUAGUGGCGAGCGAAAGCGGAAGAGGCUAAACCAUAGGUAGCAAUACUUAUGGGGUUUCGGACAGCAUUUAGUAUUGAUAAUUUCUAGUUGAAACGUGUGGGAAAACGUACCGAAGAGUGUGAGAGUCACGUAAGCGAAAGAGAGAAUCAGCGAGCUGUAUCCAAAGUACCGCGGGACACGUGAAACCCCGUGGGAAGAUGGGGGGACCAUCCUCCAAGCCUAAAUACUACCUAAUGACCGAUAGCGAAUAGUACUGUGAAGGAACGGUGAAAAGAACCCCGGGAGGGGAGUGAAAAAGAACCUGAAACCCUAUGCUUACAAGCACCGAGAGCACGUCAAAGUGUGAUCGGGUACCUUUUGUAGAAUGGUCCGGCGAGUUAUUGUAUGCGGCAAGGUUAAGUGCUUAAGGCACGGAGCCGAAGCGAGAGCAAGUCUGAACAGGGCGAAAAAGUCGUAUGCAAUAGACCCGAAACCGAGUGACCUAUCCAUGUCCAGGCUGAAGUGGAGGUAAAACUCCAUGGAGGGCCGAACACACGUCCGUUGAAAAGGCCGGUGAUGAGGUGUGGAUAGCGGAGAAAUUCCAAUCGAACUCGGAUAUAGCUGGUUCUCUCCGAAAUAGCUUUAGGGCUAGCCUCGUGAAAGAUUACUGGAGGUAAAGCACUGAAUGGGCUAGGGGUCGAAAGAUUACUGAACCCUAUCAAACUAAGAAUGCCAGAUAAUUGAUUCACGGGAGUCAGACAAUGUGAGAUAAGUCUCAUUGUCAAAAGGGAAACAGCCCAGACCCACAGCUAAGGUCCCUAAACAUUGUUAAGUGGAAAAGGAUGUGGGGUUGCAUAAACAACCAGGAUGUUGGCUUAGAAGCAGCCACUCAUUAAAAGAGUGCGUAAUAGCUCACUGGUCGAGUGACCCUGCGCCGAAAAUUCAACGGGGCUAAACAAUGUACCGAAGCUUGGGAUUCUAGAUUUAUCUAGAGUGGUAGGAGAGCGUCGAAUAAGGGGUGAAGUCAGAGCGGAAGCGCUGGUGGACUUUAUUCGAGUGAGAAUGCCGGAAUGAGUAGCGAGAAUUAUGUGAGAAUCAUAAUGGCCGAAAAUCUAAGGUUUCCUGAGGAAGGUUCGUCCGCUCAGGGUAAGCCGGGGGCUAAGGCGAGGCGGAGACGCGUAGCCGAUGCACAUACGGUUGAAAUUCCGUAGCCACCGAAAGAUUUAAGUACAGGGACGCUUUAGAAGUGAUGUAGCCGGGCGAUGGUUGACCCGGUCGUAAGGGAUCGAAAAUGAGUAGAGAAGUCAUCAUGGAAAGAGACAAGAAAAGCUGUAUGAAUAUCUUAGGUGCCCGUACCGCAAACCGACACAGGUAGAUAGGAAGAAGAUUCUAAGGCCAACGGGAGAAGGGUUGUUAAGGAACUCGGCAAGUUGACCCCGUAACUUAGGGAUAAGGGGUGCUCAAGUGAUUGAGCCGCAGAGAAUAGGCCCAGGCGACUGUUUAGCAAAAACACAGGUCUCUGCUAAAUCGAAAGAUGACGUAUAGGGGCUGACACCUGCCCGGUGCCGGAAGGUUAAGAGGAGAUGUGAGAGCAUUGAAUCGAAGCCCCGGUAAACGGCGGCCGUAACUAUAACGGUCCUAAGGUAGCGAAAUUCCUUGUCAGGUAAGUUCUGACCCGCACGAAAGGUGUAACGAUCUGGGCACUGUCUCAACAACCCGCCCGGCGAAAUUGUAGUACCGGUGAAGAUGCCGGUUACCCGCGACUAGACGGAAAGACCCCAUGGAGCUUUACUGUAGCCUAAUAUUGGAUUUCGGUAUUUCACGUACAGGAUAGGUGGGAGACUGGGAAGCACAGGCGUCAGCUUGUGUGGAGUCGACCUUGGGAUACCACUCUUG